rnacentral:lncRNA from 1 species
CAGCUGAGCACUGCCCACAGCUGCCCUUGCCCCUGCCUUUCCACGUUGCACAAGCCCAGCGCACGGUACCCACUGGAUAUGCCCGAGGCCUCCAGAGGAAAGGAAAGGAGGAAAAGGGACAGAAGAAAUGUUCACAGGAACUGCAUAUGGGCCUGCUACUUGUGUCAAAAUGUGACUGAACUCUCUUCCAGCAGGCUGGAGUGCAGUGGUGCGAUCUCAGCUCAUUGCAACCUAUGCCUCCCGGGUUCAAACGAUGCGUAGUAUGGCAGCAAUUAAGAUGGAAGUAAUGAGGAAAAGGAAUACUUAUCAAUGGAGAUUAGAGAGAGCCAAGCUUACUCUGAGGGAGGUCUGAAUGCCAUAUUGUGAGCGGCCCUGCUGAAAGACCCAUGUGGCAAGGAUCUGAGAUCAUUGGCCAACAGGCUGCAAAGAGUCCUACCAACAGCCAGGCUGGUGUUCUUGGAAGUGGAUCUUCUCCUACUCUCCUACUUGAGAUGACUGCAGCCCCAGCUAACACUUCGAUUGCAGCCUUGUUAAGAUAUCACGGGCCAGACACACCCAGCUAAGUUAUGCCUGAGUUACUAGCCCACAGAAAUGAUAAGAUAAUAAAUAUUUGCUGUUUUAAGCUGCUAAGUUUUGGGUUAAUUUGUUAUACAACAAUGGAUAACUAAUACAAGUGCAGUCAUUGAUCUCAUUGAACACACCCGUAAUUCUUUGGAAAAAUGUCUACUUUCUCACCAAACUAAAAUCCAUUAAUUCCAGUAGUUAGGUGUUUGGCAAUGCCUUUAAAACGAUGCAUAGAAGUACAUGGCCAGGUCUUUAAAAUUGCGUUGCUAGACUGAAGAAGAGCUGUCUGACUUACUGGGCUUCCCACGUUCCUGCCUUCAGUUCCUGGGUUAGUGUCACAGGUUGCGGAUUUUCCACUCCAUCUCCCAGUCAUGUCUCUGGCACUUCCCCCGCUUGGCUCCUAGUAAUCAACUUUGGCUGACCUCUAACUCUCCACCUCCUGGACCACAAAAUAAACCCAAUGCUCUGAUCAUAGCUCCUCUGCAACUAUGUUUACUCCUUGGUUUGGGAUCUGCCCAGACUCUCAUUACGCCUGCCAUAGCAUUAUCCCUCUGUCCUGUACCUACGGAUGAAGCAAACCAUUGAUUUCUCCAACUAUGCUAAGUAAGAGCAAGUCAUAUUGUAAGUAAUUUAAUAAUAUAGAAUUUCUAGAGUUAUAAAAUAAUGAAGCAAUUUUAUAAAAACUAUCUUUUUAACAGGUUAAAAAAUAAAGCAAUGUCAUCAUUUCCAUUAAAUUUUGAACAAUAGAAGGCAAGCACUACUCAUUUCUAAAAAGAAAGCUUGCGCUUUUGAGGAUGAAAAGGUUUGAGUUAAUUGUAAACCAUGUAAUCAUAUGGUUAUUUUUUAGCUUUAAACUAAUAAAAUAAUGGUGCCUUCUUAUCACGGUAGGCAGUGCGUC